ACAGAUGUUACUAAGGAAAGAAUUCUAGGAUAUAAGAACUAAACACUGGUCCUUAUAGGAUCAGCUACACAAGCAGCAGGGGUGUCUCUUGGUUCAUAAGAGAUGGUUUAUAAAUAACACCUACUAUUUUGAACAGAAAAUUUCAAGAGGCAACACAAUUCCGUCAUUCCAACUGGAAGAAGUAGUCUUCUAAAGUUGAGGCCAGCAUGCUGAAGAAAAAUAUUAAACUAUGUAUAACCCUGUGUCAACAUAUGAUGCUACUGGGAAUGAACAGGAUUUUGAAAAGACAGAAAAAAGAAGAGAACGGAUGGGAGAACGAAACCAUGUCCUUCUAGAUCAGAACGAAAUCAAUCCCGCCACCCACAUCUGUGCUGCUUAACUACACUCGUGAGAAGAACACUGAACACUUUUCGGAAUGGCAAUGGAGUCUACGAGAUGGAUGGGCAAGACUUACGGUGACACUCCCUCCUUAGAAAACACACACACACACACACACACACACACACACACACACACACACACCACCCUCUACAUUCCCUUGAGUUUGAAAUGAAUUUCCUAAGUCUCUUCAGGCAUCUUUCUUUUAUUACAGCCCACAUUCAUAUUUCAGUAGAACAACUACAAGGGAGUCACUAAUUUUUUAUCUAAACUAUGACGUUUUGGCAAACGUUAUAUAACCAACUAUAAAUCCACAACAAGCCUCAAAUACUAAAGAGCUGGUAAUUAUAUGAUGAGAAACAGCUUGAUUAUGGGAGAGGCAAGGCGGGCUGUCAACAAACAAACAGCUGUUUCUUAUUGACAACCCAUAACUAGAUCGUGCAUCCCAACAAACUAAGGAGUUUGUUUCUGUUGUUGCUGUUGUGUUUGUUUUUAACUAUUCCACCCCCUUCCCCUCCCACGUCCAAAAUACUGAGUCGAUUUAAACAUUAGAUGCAAACCACAACAGAAGAAUCGGAUACACAAGGAUAACAAGUAAAGCACUACAGACUUAUAAAAAAAUUCUGUACGUAAUAACUAACAGAAGUUUAAAGUAUACUUUCCAAUUCAACUUCAAAUGGCUAUCUUUCCCUGUGCAACACGUCCUGUCAUUACUAUUUAUAAGAGGCAGCUCCGGCAAUGGGCCUGUUUCCUCAUUCUUGGAUUAUGACCACAGCAAUGCUGCCACUCUGAUCCUUUGUUCUGGAAGCUUUCUCCGUAGCUUCUUCCAUCCUCCCUGUUAGCAGCAGGGAAUGAGCAUGGGAAUAAAAAGAACCUUAACAUCACAGGUUAAAAAAAAAAAAAAUCCACAAACGUAAAUGGAAUCUUUAUUUGAUGUCCUCGUCAUACGAAAUAAAAUCACUUUCACAUUUGCACCUUCA